UCAUCUGCUGCUGGGUUUACGGCUUCUGUCAUUCGUGAUAAUAGCACUCGUGAGUUCUAUUUGGAAGGAGGAGCCAUGGUGUUGGCUGAUGGUGGUGUUGUCUGCAUAGAUGAGUUUG